rnacentral:rRNA from 1 species
GCAUAUAAUCUGCCCUUUAAUUGGGGGCUAGAAUGAAAGGAUAAACGAGAAUAUUCCUGUCUCAAAAAUAUAAAAAUAAAUUUAUCUUUAGGUGAAAAAGCCUAAAUAACCUUAAAAGACAAAAAGACCCCGUAGAGCUUAACUAGCUCCCAUAAAAGAGAAAUUAAAAAUAUUCUCUAUUAUACCUCUGCCUAGUUUAGCUGGGGCGGCUAGAGAGCAAUUACCCUCUCCUUCAAAUAAAGGAAACCACCCAAUAAAAGAUCCUAUAUAGAUUAAAGAACAAAGCUACCUCGGGGAUAACAGGCUAAUAUCUUUUAAGAGUACUUAUCGAAAAAGAAGUUUGGCACCUCGAUGUUGGCUUAGAGAACCCAGAGGGUAGCAGAAGCUCUCAACGGCAGGUUUGUUCAACCUUUAAAUCUCU